GGGGAAUCUAUCGCACAGGGGAAUAUCGGGGACAUCACAAUGGAGAAAAGGUUUGGAAUCAUCAACUCCAGGUCCCCAAACCAGACUGUACUCCUUCGUUUUCAACAGAUGAGCCCACCUACUUCUCUAAGAAAAUGAAGACUAUUCCUUUUCUUCUCCUGCAUAGCCAUGCAGCUAACGUGUCUGGAGCAUCUGUUAUAUGGCAGGUGGUAUUCUAGAAAGAAUAUGCCUGAGAGAAAAAUAAGAUGUACUCCCUGACUUCCAGAAAUGCAUCGUCUAAGGAAGUGGAGGACAUGGGAAAAAAUAACUAACACAAAAUAUAGUAAGUGUAGAUGAAGAAGAUGGGACCAUGAUUCACAAUGAGAAGAUCUUUUAUUUUUUAAAAAAAGAAAGAAAAAGCAAGUGAGAGUAAGAGAUAUAGUUACCUGGAUUUUCCCCUGAAUUCAUUCUACUUCCUAUAUUCUAGUUUAUUAUUAUUUCCCUGUCCCUCCCUGAUUCUGUUUGAGAAAAUGUAAAUGGAAUUAUACAUUCUAAACCAUGUUAAAAAUUCAAAUUAAUCUAGUAAGUUAUAAUAGCGCUUAAGACCUUAGUAAUUGGGAUGAUGGUUCACUGCUGACUUAUUCUCAGUUCAGUGUGAGUUAGCACAAAAUAAACAGGGCCUUUUCAAGAUGAGAGAAUCACAAUGGCCUGAGUGCAGCAAUGACCAUUUUUAGUGACAGGAAUAUAUAUGGGAGCAGAAAGAUGGUCACAAAUUGAUGACCUUAACCUUGAACCAGAGUUUAAAAAAAAAAAACUCUAAAAUUGUGUUCUGCCUUUGCUAAUGACACAGAUCAUAACUCCAGGCAAUAAAACUUCAUUUAUCAGCCUUUCCUUUCUAGUCCACUGGAAGUCCC
rnacentral:lncRNA from 1 species